UACAGAGGUGGCAAGCGUUGUUCGGAAUUACUGGGCGUAAAGGGCGCGUAGGCGGUUCGUUAAGUCCUGUGUGAAAUCCCCCGGCUCAACUGGGGAACUGCACAGGAAACUAGCGGGCUUGAGUUCGGGAGAGGGAAGCGGAAUUCCUGGUGUAGCGGUGAAAUGCGUAGAUAUCAGGAGGAACACCGAUGGCGAAGGCGGCUUUCUGGACAGUAACUGACGCUGAGGCGCGAAAGCUAGGGAAGCAAACAGG
rnacentral:rRNA from 1 species